rnacentral:tRNA from 1 species
UCCGUAAUGGUCUAGUGGCUAGGAUUUGUCGCUCUCAUCUCGUUCCAUCGAGAUAGUUCCCGACAAGGCCAGGGUUCAAUUCCCUGUUACGGAA